GCUUGUCUCAAAGAUUAAGCCAUGCAUGUCUUAGUGUAAAUAACUCUUAUGAAACUGCGAACGGCUCAUUAUAUCAGUUAUAGUUUCUUUGAUAGUCCCUUACUACUUGGAUACCCGUAGUAAUUCUAGAGCUAAUACAUGCAUCAAUACCCAACUGUUCGCGGAAGGGUAGUAUUUAUUAGAUGGAAACCAAUGCAGGGCAACCUGGAAUAUGGUGAUUCAUAAUAACUCGCGGAUCGGUUUACCGAUGCAUCAUUCAAGUUUCUGCCCUAUCAGCUUUGGAUGGUAGGGUAUUGGCCUACCAUGGCUUUAACGGGUAACGGAGAAUUAGGGUUCGAUUCCGGAGAGGGAGCCUGAGAAAUGGCUACCACAUCCAAGGAAGGCAGCAGG
rnacentral:rRNA from 1 species